rnacentral:rRNA from 1 species
UACGUAGGGUGCGAGCGUUGUCCGGAAUUAUUGGGCGUAAAGAGCUCGUAGGCGGUGUGUCACGUCGGCCGUGAAAACCUGCAGCUUAACUGUGGCGUGCGGUCGAUACGGGCAUCACUGGAGUUCGGCAGGGGAGACUGGGAAUUCCUGGUGUAGCGGUGAAAUGCGCAGAGUAUCAGGAGGAACACCGGUGGCGAAGGCGGGUCUCUGGGCCGAUACUGACGCUGGAGGAGCGAAAGCGUGGGGAGCAAACAGG